rnacentral:rRNA from 1 species
GGGUGAGUAAUGCAUCGGAAUGUACCGUGUAAUGGGGGAUAGCUCGGCGAAAGCCGGAUUAAUACCGCAUACGCCCUGAGGGGGAAAGUGGGGGACCGAAAGGCCUCACGUUAUACGAGCAGCCGAUGUCUGAUUAGCUAGUUGGUGGGGUAAAGGCUCACCAAGGCGACGAUCAGUAGCGGGUCUGAGAGGAUGAUCCGCCACACUGGGACUGAGACACGGCCCAGACUCCUACGGGAGGCAGCAGUGGGGAAUUUUGGACAAUGGGCGCAAGCCUGAUCCAGCCAUGCCGCGUGUCUGAAGAAGGCCUUCGGGUUGUAAAGGACUUUUGUCCGGGAGCAAAUCCCAGUGGUUAAUACCUACUGGGGCUGAGAGUACCGGAAGAAUAAGCACCGGCUAACUACGUGCCAGCAGCCGCGGUAAUACGUAGGGUGCAAGCGUUAAUCGGAAUUACUGGGCGUAAAGCGUGCGCAGGCGGUUGUGCAAGUCUGAUGUGAAAGCCCCGGGCUUAACCUGGGAACGGCAUUGGAGACUGCACGACUAGAGUGCGUCAGAGGGGGGUAGAAUUCCGCGUGUAGCAGUGAAAUGCGUAGAGAUGCGGAGGAAUACCGAUGGCGAA